GCAGGAUUCCGGCUGGAGGAGCGGGCGGGCUGCGCCCGUGGACUCGGAGUCAGACUCGGCUGCGGACUAACGGUCGCUUUUCACCCAGCGCCUGAAGCACCGCAGUGAAGAGACACGAUGGGGCAGGCUGAAUUCCCAUCUGGAGCAUAAAGGCUCGCUGUGUCUACUUAUUUGCCUGGGCUCCUAAGACCCACGCGAAAGGGAACCCAAGGUUUCUAAAAGAGACAUAUCCAAAAUUCAUCACAGAGAAUGCAAGAUGUGUUAUGCCUGGAGCAUCUGGUGUUAAGAGUAAGCCAAACUUUGGAGUCUCUUGUUCAAUUUGUCACUUAUAUUCCAGAUGGAAAAAAAAAAAUUGUAUUUGGGUUGGUGCUGGUGAGUUGGUAGUUGUGUCCAGCUUUUGUGACCCUGAGGACUGUAGCCCACCAGGCUCCUCUGUCCACGACAUUUCUCAAUUAAGAAUAUAAGAAUACAGGAGUGGGUUGCCAUUCCCUUCUCCAGGGGGUCUUCCUGACUCAGGGAUGGAACUUGCAUCUUUUACAUCCCCUUGCAGGCAGAUUCUUUAUUUACUGGGAAGCCCAUAAUUUGGGGACCACGUCUAAUAUAUUCUGGGACAUUUGACUAAUGUCAUCUUUUAAAGCAUUUUCUAUGAUUGGAACAUUUCUACAGUCUUCAGUUUUGUAUUCCUACCAAACUUAGGGCUCAGGUGGAUAGAUAGGAAGGCUGUGAUUCAAAAUUAAGGAGGAUAUGUUGUAUGACAAAACCAUGAUUCCAAAAAAUUCUGAACAAUCUGGAUAAAUGGGUUCAAACUAUCUUUUUCUUAGAUAAAACUUAAUAUGAAUAAACACUGCAUUCUGUUCUUAAGGCAUAAUGAUUUAAAUGCAGAAAAGCAGUAUGAGGAGAGUAUAAAAUAUUAGGCUGUUAAGUUGAGCUUAUA
ensembl:lncRNA